GAUGAACGCUAGCUACAGGCUUAACACAUGCAAGUCGAGGGGAAACGGCAUUGAGUGCUUGCACUCUUUGGACGUCGACCGGCGCACGGGUGAGUAACGCGUAUCCAACCUUCCCAUUACUGUGGGAUAACCUGCCGAAAGGCAGACUAAUACCGCAUAGUCUUCGAUGACGGCAUCAGAUUUGAAGUAAAGAUUUAUCGGUAAUGGAUGGGGAUGCGUCUGAUUAGCUUGUUGGCGGGGUAACGGCCCACCAAGGCAACGAUCAGUAGGGGUUCUGAGAGGAAGGUCCCCCACAUUGGAACUGAGACACGGUCCAAACUCCUACGGGAGGCAGCAGUGAGGAAUAUUGGUCAAUGGACGGAAGUCUGAACCAGCCAAGUAGCGUGCAGGAUGACGGCCCUAUGGGUUGUAAACUGCUUUUGUAUGGGGAUAAAGUUAGGGACGUGUCCCUAUUUGCAGGUACCAUACGAAUAAGGACCGGCUAAUUCCGUGCCAGCAGCCGCGGUAAUACGGAAGGUCCAGGCGUUAUCCGGAUUUAUUGGGUUUAAAGGGAGCGUAGGCUGGAGAUUAAGUGUGUUGUGAAAUGUAGACGCUCAACGUCUGAAUUGCAGCGCAUACUGGUUUCCUUGAGUACGCACAACGUUGGCGGAAUUCGUCGUGUAGCGGUGAAAUGCUUAGAUAUGACGAAGAACUCCGAUUGCGAAGGCUGCUGACGGGAGCGCAACUGACGCUUAAGCUCGAAGGUGCGUGUAUCAAACAGG
rnacentral:rRNA from 1 species